rnacentral:lncRNA from 1 species
UAGAUAAGCAGAUUGACUCGACCGUGCAUAAAAAGUAUAGGGAUGGGAAUAAGAUUACUUUUCUAUCUCACUUCAUUUCGACAGACAUCAACCGUAAUGUACUGCCCGUCACCUCCAAACGUGACCUCCUACAGUAUCCACCAUUCAUGCCAAGAAUAAGCGUGAACCUUUCCAUUUUUUGAAACCGCAGCUCGACCAACAAACCAGUCUUUACUCUCAUCAUGCAACUAUGGCAACCCACUGUGCAUAAUUUCCCCAUUUAGUUCACAGAACCAACGGAGUUGAAGGACCCGCUCAUCAGAAUUGGUCCAGGAUCUCAAUUUGUACCUGGCGUAUCUUCCGAAAAAACUGACGGCCUGCUUACACGAAUGCAUUCUGAGAAACGCCAACGUGCCAAGCAAUCGUGGUCCCUCGGACUCGUAGUAGGUUAGAGGAACCAAGAAUCAGGCAUUUUGUGCCCUUUGAAAUUCUCAGUUAACCGAUCAUUUCUACAAAAAAAAUGGAGACAGGAAUGGGACAAGUGCGUCGAAUUUGGAAGACUCUGAGAGUAAUUAGUCCACACACCUCACGUGACCUUUGAAGAAGAUGACUGGGACUGGUUAUUUGAUUUGAAACGAUCAGUUUGAACUAAUGUCCAUAAUCUGAUGCACUUGGAGUCGCUGGUCUUGACUUUCACUGCAAUGUUAAAACCGAUAAAUCACGUUUUAAGGAUUUCCGACGUGGUGAAAGUUCCAAAGCCGAUAUAUGCACAAUUUGUUCGUACAAUACACGAGUGCCAUAAGCAAAGGAAGCAAAGCAUUGAUUCGCGACCAAUCAAAACAGAAUCUGCUGGAGAUGUAGCAACGACAUAAAAGCACAAAAGAACUGGAUCAUACCUUAAAUUCACGGAGACUCCUUUCCUGCAUGUACGUAACUACACGAAAUAUAGACAUUGGUCUGAAACAAAAAAUGAAAGAAAAUUGUUUAAUUGACCUGAUUUUAGUGAUGUAGAAGAUUAACCAACUUAAAACAAAUAAUAAAGUUAUGUUGAUCCAAAAAAAAUAUUAUGAAUGAGAUGUACUUGAUUAGCACACGACACGUACGAGACCAAGUCGCGAGUCUGCCAAAAAUGUUUCAUUCUUAAAACAAAGAUAAAACCAUAAGAAAAAAAAAACGCUGGGGCUUUAGGAGUUAGUUUUGAUAUAAUUCUUAGCGAUUAGUCUAGACAUUGUCAUAGUUUUUGCACUUAAG